CUCUCUGGGGAAAACUAUUCUCCACUGACUCCAGCAUAUGUUGUGAGCGCACACACACACACACACACACAGAAACACACAAGCAGGCAUUCUAAUUGCCGCUGGAGUGUAAACUGCAGCUGAUGUUAUGGUCGUAACAAUCUCUCUCUUAAACAAAUAUUCCCAUGUGCGCGCUCAUGCACUCAAAUGCACAUCCGCACACAUUCAAUAAAGAGGGGAAUACGGUACAAAAGGUGUCUUGUAACACAUUCUAAAGGAUAUAUUCAAAGAGCUGACUGCUGAACUCCAAACGUAAUGCUGCCGCUAACGUUAGCUAGACUCCGGACGUAAUGCUGAGGCUAACGUUAGCUAGACUCCGAACGUAAUGCUGGCGCUAACGUUAGCUAGACUCCAAACGUAAUGCUGAGGCUAACGUUAGCUAGACUCCAAACGUAAUGCUGGCGCUAACGUUAGCUAGACUCCGAACGUAAUGCUGGCGCUAACGUUAGCUAGACUCCGAACGUAAUGCUGGCGCUAACGUUAGCUAGACUCCGAACGUAUCGCUGGUCCCGUUAUAUUGUUUCGUUGUUAAUUGUAGUAUAUAGUGUGUUAAGAAACCAGAUAUUACCUCUAUCUUGGUGGAGAACUUUUGAUAUAAAUAGAGAGCAGCUACCUGGAGCGAUAACUGGAGGUUUGACAGUACUUGGAACUAAGUCAACCAUUUCUAUUUCUGCAGUAGUCUUAGUAGCCAUUGAUGGUUCAGGGACACAAAUUACAGCCCACGAAUGAGUAAAUAAAUUAUUUUUCUCCACUAAAAUGCACCUCUCAGAGAGUUUAUAUCUUCCAGAUAUUUACUAUUGAAAAAUAAAUGAAUAGUCAAAUAAUACAGGGAAAUUUGAAUACAAGGUGAAGUAAGCCUUUGAUAAGAGGUAGUGCCUUUUGAAAUGCGUUGGCUCUUGAUGGAUUAUUUGGUAAUUUCAGACCCUUUUCAGAGUCUAGCCUUGCAACGGAUAACAAAGAAACGGUUUUUGUAUAUGAAAAUUAUUCUCUUUAAGGGCAAUCUAUGAACAAGAUUUCAAAUGAAAUUUAUGAGAGAAUAGAAGGUUGUCAGUAUUGGAUAGAUGCCCGUUUUCAAGUAGCAAUCCUUGCUUACCGAAGGUUCCCGUUUGAAAAAACGUCUUUUAUUCCCAAUUUGAAUGGAGCUCAAAUAAGUGAACGUUGACGAAUCGUUUUUAACCAAAGUACAUGAAUAUCUUGCUUUGUGCAAAAUGAAGAGGAAAAGAAAUCGUGGAGAAAGAAAACAUGUUUGAAUGACGAGACAAUUAGUGAUAAUAAACAUUAAAAUCGCACCUUCGUUAAACUCUGCUCCUUCUCUCAAGAAACACACACAGAACAAACUAAUUAUUUUUAAUGUGUAUAUGCUUGGUCUCAUUUCAGUAUGUUCUUUAAUAACACAGAUUUAAUGGACUGGUAUUUAGAAAAAAGCCUACUUCAUACAUACUUAAUACCAUUACUGACCAAAUUAACCUUGAGUAGAUCUUAAUUACAUUUAGUUCCAUUUGGUUGGUCAUGCAAUCCACACAGCUCGAAUAUUACAAAUGAACAGGAAGGAGGGUGUUUUUAUUUUUUUUCCCUUCCAAAAAGUUUGCUUUGCACAAACUAGUGGAAAUCGGAAGAGACCAAAAAAACGAGUACAGAUUUUGGGUAUUCACAAAAAUUAGUGCCAUAUGCCUAUUGAAAUGUUUUUUUUUUUAACUCCUAAAGAUUAUUAAUCAAAACAGGAACAUGCGCUCAGUGGUUUGAGACACACGUCAAUUUCUGCCUUGACUCCAUCCCCUCUUUUGAUUAAAAUGCACUCAUGACAAGCUCUCAACUGCCACUUGUCAUCUGUCAUUGUGAUUCAGUACCAUAGAAUAUUAUUCAAAAGCACACUUGAAUCCUAAUGAGAAUCCCAUUGACAACUUAUUGCCAGACUCGCUGAUGAACAUUGAUUGAAAAAUAGGGUGUUGGGGGGUUUGGAGUGGCGCUCCCUCGGUGUAACCUGGACCGGACCGACAGGGGAGGCGGGCGCGGCGCUAAAAUGAAGUAGCGACGGCGUCAGGAUUCACAGCUGUUGACAAAAAAAAAAAAAAACAUUACAUAAGUGCCAUGUUUUUUCAUUUUGCCGUCUUGGUGACACACGUUUGUGCAUCCGUCCCACCUCAGAUGUGUGAAUUUGUUCUCGGCCUGUUUAUUUGACCAGCAAUACAGGGUGUGUGUGUGUGUUGUCUCGUACUUAUGGCCCCUCCUAGUCCAAGGCUGGCAUGCAAUAACGAAGACGGCACUUUCAAUAACCUUGACGGACAGAUUAAAAAGAGGAUUCAAUAGUCGCUCUUCCCCGUGAGCACUCCAUCACGAGGGCCGCCGUCCCUCGACGCCGGUCAUCUCUUUAUCGUCGGCUCCUGUCAAUCACGAGGUAACUUCGCCCAAAUGGCCUCCGCGCUCCCCGAGGAGCCGCCACAGUGUUCCCCGCUUAUCCGUUGGGCUGCGGGUUGACGGUUAGGGGACAGCGGUGGGAGCUGAUCGCCGGGGGUGUCGCUCGCCGCUGUGUCACCCCGCCAUGCCAAACGCUUUGACGGCGUUUCCACCAAGAGGUCUGUCCACGUGCCCGUCCUCCUCCUCGUGUAGCCCUUCACAGGCCGUCCUUCCCUCACGUGGGUAGUCUUGUCAAUCCCCGUCGAUACAGACACCUCCGUGGUUUUCUAGCGUCCGCACCCCCCCAUCCCCCCACACACCCUUCUGAGUUUUCAGCCGCGGCUUUUCUCGCAGCCUUUGAAAGUUCACAGCCUUUCUUGGAGAGAGAAGGAAAAUCAAACCGCUCAAGGCGGGCUCGGAUCACAGGUGGGGGAGAAAAAAAAAGAGAAGAAAAUCCUGAUGUGAAUUCAGCAGACACGUUGCCUGAAGAUGGGGCGCGGGAUUGAAAGACUCUUAUUUCCCAGUGGCCGGCGUCAGGCCUUAUUUGGUAUUUUCUAUUACGUGAUCAUUGCUACAUGUUAUGUCAUCUCUGUCCAGCUUCGGGGUGACUUGAGGUGGAGUACUUAAGCACUUAUUAGCACAACUUAAGCCUAAAAGGGAAUAUGAUGAUGAGGCAAAGUUGUCCAGAGGUUAUGUCCAGCUCAAGGUACACAUCCUAUAUCAACAGCAGCGUAAGUGAUAUAUGGGCUAAUUAAUGCCUCCAACUGCUUCCUAAUUGCUGCGCCCCCUGACCUGCUGUUACCUCCUAGGAACUGGUGUCCGCCCCAAGGGCAUAGGACACGCCCAUGCUCCCGCGGACACACUGAAAGACACGGACGCACACACAGACGCGCGCACAGCAAGGUACCCCUGUGAUCCCUGAAUGUCAGGCUGAGGGCAUCCAGAGGCCAGACGUCCUCUCGGCCAAGCGUACCGGGAGUUGAUAAAGAGCAUGAAAAAAAACACAGUGGGCAGUUUAGCCACAAUAAUCUUGGGGAUUACAGGUCAAAACAAUUCCAGCGGACAGAAGACAAAACAGAGCGAAGACGCCCUCAGCGACGCAGGAUGAAUGCAAUGUGUGCUGCUGCAUGCCUCAUUCCCAUCAGCGAACCUGUAAGUCCGACCUGAGCCACUGGAUCUGAGCCCCUAGUGAUGCACUUUGAUUUGUGUUUCUUUCCCUUUUUUAAAGUAGUAGCAAUCAAUAUUUCAAUAUUAACAAUAGAUCAAAUAAGUAUCUAUAAUGGAAAAGAAAUCCAUCACCUGGCUCUGUAGUUUCCAACCAGCUUUAGGCGGAUUUUGCGUCUUUAGCUGUGUUUUUAUCUUUUCUAUUGUUGUCGUCUGUAUCUCUAAGCGUGGGUUCCACAUAGGACAGCGGUUUUUCACCAAAACCCAGCUGAAUUUAAAAUAUAUGUUUUACUUGUUGUUGCCCUACUGUUUUAGCCAACAUGUUAGCCAUUAUUUUUUAAAUUUAAAAUAUGUAAAACGUCAUGUUUGUAUCAUGGCUUUUUAGCACUCGCAAUAAAACAUUACUAUUGUAUGCAAUCGACAGGAAGCUGAACAUCUCCCAAUGGUAUACAGCGUUUACGUCGCUGCCAUCUUAUCUACAAUACAGCCUAGAAUCAAACUAAUAAUACAUAAGCUUAACAAAACGUACUGUCAAUUGAAAUAAUGUAGCCAUUAGUUACAACAAAAGUAACAAAUGGCCUACAGCGUGGAAGCAGCUUGCACGGCGGCAAACCUCCAGAGAGUUUACUUAUAAGCACAGGAUUCAUAGCAUCACAGUGAGCUUUGGAAGUGCUGCCGGGUCACUUUUGAUACCUUUUUCUGCGGGCAAUGCCAGCCGCGUUCCCGCUCACUCCAUUCGUUCUGCUGAACUACGCGAACUCCGGCUGCACCGUCACAUUUACCCUCAGACACGAGGCUGAUGUCACUCUCUUCAGGUGACUUUUGGCAAGAAAUACCAUUUUUUUUGGUUAUGGAAUAAAACAAUAGUGUGCAUUUCUCGCAUAGACGUAUCCUAGCACAAAGUUUAAGAUCUAUUUAAAGUAGAGGGGGGGUAAAAGUCUCUUGGAGUUGAAAAUGUAGACGUCAGUGUCUAUUUUCAACCCCAUUAGAUAUCACUGACUGAUUACAUUCUGCUGUUUAUGAGAGCACUCAUGGGAUUCAAUGCAUUAAACCGUCCCUUCCAAACUUAAUCUAUCGCUUAAUUAAAGUUGUCCAAUAUGAAAACAGAAUCAGGCCUACUAAGAAUUAACUUCGACCCUCCAUUGUGCCUCCAUCCAAGCUGCAGACACGUGUGAACCGGCUAAUGAAGACGUGUUAAGAUACAGAUUCGGCUCCAUUUGCAUGCAAUUACAGCGCAUUGCUCAAACGCCAGAGCUGUCAGCAUCCGCGCGUCCACAUUCCCCUCAUCUGCAGUUCUCCGGAGAAUAACGAAACCCCUCUCCCAAACACACACUUCCCCUCCUCCCGUUUCUCCAAAGUCAUUGCUCUGCCGCCGCAGUUUUGUGGCACAAAUGGCUGUAGUCCAUUCAAACGUGUGAAAUUGUAAUCGUAGCUGUCUCUGGCUGGGUGUAAUUAAUGUGCUCCAUCGCAGAGAUUUUGAUGGCCAGCGUGGACUGUGUGGGGAGCCGAGCCAGCGAAGGACAUCGGCUAAAUGAUGCGCUAUUAUGUGGAGUGUUUGGUCAUUUGUAAUAGCACGCCGAGCGGAAUGCACCACGAGCGAGGAGGAAUGUCCAACAUCAUUGUGUUCAUUAAUUGCGUUUGUUGAUGGCGACGACCACAACGCAGCAGGUUGGAUGCGAUGAGUGUUUUUGCAGACAGAAAUAGCUUGACAUGAAUCUGCCAAGAACGUCUGCCGGAACGUUCAACUGGCUGGGAUGAUUUCUGAGAAUUUUUUUUUAGUUAAAACACACUUCCUCCCUGUGCCGCCGUCGGAUUGACAACCUGUCGUUAGCUGAGCAGGUAUCAGACGUUGAUGCUGUUUUUAACGGAUGGUGCCGGUAAACAAGAGGCCGACUCCCAGACAAGAAAGCUGGAGGAAGACCGAUCGGUGUGUCGGCUCCGACUCCGCGCAGAUAAAUUAGGCGUGAUGGGUCCUGAGACUGAGCAAAUAGUAGGUCUCCUCGUUGUUUGACGGGUUUAUCAGCCAGCGGUCUACACAUGGCCCUCCAGAUGGAGGACUAGCACGCGUGUAGGUGUGUGUCGGCGCUGGUUAGAAGAUUUCGUAUGCGGAUCACAGGGCUACAAAACGAGGUCCCGUUCGAAGAGGGUUGAAGUUGAGGGGUUAACGUCGGGGUUUGUUUUGUGAGCGGGCCCCGACCCUGUGGCUCUAGAGGGGGGGUCCUGGGGAGGGGAGUUCAUGCGAUCGUAACCAGCGAAAACCAGCGGUGGAGCUAGUUUUUCACAAUAAAAGCCAUGCAGAGUUUAACAGACAACUAGUUUUUCCAAAUAAAUUACACACUGUAUUAAAGUGCUCGUUGUUUUACUUUUGUU
ensembl:lncRNA